AGAAUCAACGCUGGCGGCGUGCCUAACACAUGCAAGUCGAACGAGAAAGUGGGGCAAUCCAUGAGUAAAGUGGCGACCGGGUGAGUAACACGUGACUAACCUACCCUGAAGUGGGGAAUAACUCCGGGAAACCGGGGCUAAUACCGCAUAACAUCGUCGUUUCUAAAGAAGUGACGAUCAAAGCAGCAAUGCGCUAUGGGAGGGGGUCGCGGCUGAUUAGCUAGUUGGCGGGGUAAUGGCCCACCAAGGCGAAGAUCGGUAUCCGGCCUGAGAGGGCGCACGGACACACUGGAACUGAAACACGGUCCAGACUCCUACGGGAGGCAGCAGUGGGGAAUUUUGCGCAAUGGGGGAAACCCUGACGCAGCAACGCCGCGUGGAGGAUGAAGCCCUUGGGGCGUAAACUCCUUUCGACCAAGACGAUAAUGACGGUACUGGUGGAAGAAGCACCGGCUAACUCUGUGCCAGCAGCCGC
rnacentral:rRNA from 1 species